rnacentral:misc_RNA from 1 species
GAUGAAGAACGCAGCGAAAUGCGAUACUUGGUGUGAAUUGCAGAAUCCCGUGAACCAUCGAGUCUUUGAACGCAAGUUGCGCCUCAAGCCAUUAGGUUGAGGGCACGUCUGCCUGGGCGUCACAUAUCGUUGCCUGAUGCCAGUUUCCUCGUGAUGGGUGACUGUGCAGGGCGAAUGAUGGCUUCCCGUGAGCAUUGUUGCCUCAUGGUUGGUUGAAAAUUGAGUCCUUGGUAGGGAGCGCCGUGAUAGAUGGUGGUUGAGUGACAAACGAGACCCAAUCAUGUGAGACCCCUACCGAAUUUGGCCUUCAUGACCCACAUGCGUCUUUGGAACGCUCAUGACGAGACCUCAGGUCAGGCGGGGCUACCCGCUGAGUUUAAGCAUAUCAAUAAGCGGAGGA